GCCGGAGGCGACCGCUUUUGGAGUUCGAUUAAGCCAUGCGAGUCGAGAGCUUUCGGAGCUCGGCAUACUGCUCAGUAACACGUGGAUAACCUGCCCUAUUGUCUGGAAUAACCUCGGGAAACUGAGAACAAAGCCGGAUAACCCACAAUGCCUGGAACGGUUUGUGGGUGAAGAUAGGAUGGGUCUGCGGCGUAUCAGGUCGUAGGGGGUGUAAUGGACCUCCUAGCCAUCGACGCGUACGGGUGUUGGGAGACAUAGCCCGGAGAUGGAUUCUGAGACACGAAUCCAGACCCUACGGGGUGCAGCAGGCGCGAAAACUUCACACUGCAGGAAACUGUGAUGAGGGAACUCCAAGUGCUAUCACUAUGUGGUAGCUUUCCUUAACUAUUAAUCGGUUUUGGAAUAAGGGCUGGGAAAGACCGGUGCCAGCCGCCGCGGUAAUACCGGCAGCUCAAGUGGUCGUCGCUUUUAUUGGGCCUAAAACGUCCGUAGCCUGCUUGGUAAAUCUGUGGGUAAAUCAACCAGCUUAACUGGUUGAAUUCUGCAGAGACUGCCAGACUAGGGACCGGGAGAGGUGUGGGGUACUCUAGGGGUAGGGGUAAAAUCCUGUCAUCCUUAGAGGACCACCAGUUGCGAAGGCGCCACACUGGAACGGAUC
rnacentral:rRNA from 1 species